UACAGAGGUCCCAAGCGUUGUUCGGAUUCAUUGGGCGUAAAGGGUGCGUAGGCGGCGCGGUAAGUCGGGUGUGAAAUCUCGGGGCUUAACUCCGAAACUGCAUUCGAUACUGCCGUGCUUGAGGACUGGAGAGGAGACUGGAAUUUACGGUGUAGCGGUGAAAUGCGUAGAUAUCGUAAGGAAGACCAGUGGCGAAGGCGGGUCUCUGGACAGUUCCUGACGCUGAGGCACGAAGGCCAGGGGGGCAAACGGG
rnacentral:rRNA from 1 species